GGCCUAACGCAUGCAAGUCGAACGGUAGCACAGAGAGCUUGCUCUCGGGUGACCAGUGGCGGACGGGUGAGUAAUGUCUGGGAAACUGCCCGAUGGAGGGGGAUAACUACUGGAAACGGUAGCUAAUACCGCAUAAUGUCGCAAGACCAAAGAGGGGGACCUUCGGGCCUCUUGCCAUCGGAUGUGCCCAGAUGGGAUUAGCUUGUUGGUGAGGUAAUGGCUCACCAAGGCGACGAUCCCUAGCUGGUCUGAGAGGAUGACCAGCCACACUGGAACUGAGACACGGUCCAGACUCCUACGGGAGGCAGCAGUGGGGAAUAUUGCACAAUGGGCGCAAGCCUGAUGCAGCCAUGCCGCGUG
rnacentral:rRNA from 1 species